AUUGAACGCUGGCGGCAUGCCUAACACAUGCAAGUCGAGCGGAUGCAGGGAGCUCUCACCUGGAUUCAGCGGCGGACGGGUGUGUCAUGACUAGGACUCUGCCUGGUAGUGGGGGCUCAAGUCAGCAAACGAGAGCUCAUACCGCCUACGUCCUGAGGGAGAAAGUGGGGGAUCUUCGGACCUCACGCUAUCAGAUGAGCCUAGGUCGGAUUAGCUAGUUGGUGGGGUAAAGGCCUACCAAGGCGACGAUCCGUAACUGGUCUGAGAGGAUGAUCAGUCACACUGGAACUGAGACACGGUCCAGACUCCUACGGGAGGCAGCAGUGGGGAAUAUUGGACAAUGGGCGAAAGCCUGAUCCAGCCAUGCCGCGUGUGUGAAGAAGGUCUUCGGAUUGUAAAGCGCUUUUAGUAGGGAAGAAGAGCAGUAAGUUAAUACCUGGCUGUUUUGACGGUACCAGCAGAAUAAGCACCGGCUAACUUCGUG
rnacentral:rRNA from 1 species